UACGUAGGGGCCGAGCGUUAUCCGGAGUUACUGGGCGUAAAGCGCGCGCAGGCGGCUCGUCAAGCCUGACGUGAAAGCCCCCGGCUCAACCGGGGAGGGUCGUCGGGGACUGGCGGGCUUGAGGUCGGCAGGGGUUGGUGGAAUUCCUGGUGUAGCGGUGAAAUGCGCAGAUAUCAGGAGGAACACCGGUGGCGAAGGCGGGUCUCUGGGCCGUAACUGACGCUGGAGGAGCGAAAGCGUGGGGAGCGAACAGG
rnacentral:rRNA from 1 species